rfam:Stegodyphus mimosarum contig172755, whole genome shotgun sequence.
GCCUUCGUGGUGUAAUGGACAGCACACUAGGCACGUAUUCCAGAGGUCCGAGGUUCGAGUCCCGGCGAAGACA